rnacentral:rRNA from 1 species
AAAGUCGUAACAAGUUUUCCGUAGGUGAACCUGCGGAAGGAUCAUUACAGUAGUCAUCCGGGUUGCCGCAAGGCCUCCCGGGUAACCUACCACCCUUUGUUUAUUACACUUUGUUGCUUUGGCAGGCCUGCCCUCGGGCUGCUGGCUCCGGCCGGCGAGCGUCUGCCAGAGGACCUAAACUCUGUUUGUCUAUAAUGUCUGAGUACUAUAUAAUAGUUAAAACUUUCAACAACGGAUCUCUUGGUUCUGGCAUCGAUGAAGAACGCAGCGAAAUGCGAUAAGUAAUGUGAAUUGCAGAAUUCAGUGAAUCAUCGAAUCUUUGAACGCACAUUGCGCCCCCUGGUAUUCCGGGGGGCAUGCCUGUCCGAGCGUCAUUACAACCCUCAAGCUCAGCUUGGUGUUGGGCCCCGCCGCCCCGGCGGGCCCUAAAGUCAGUGGCGGUGCCGUCCGGCUCCGAGCGUAGUAAUUCUUCUCGCUCUGGAGGUCCGGUCGUGUGCUUGCCAGCAACCCCCAAUUUUUUUCAGGUUGACCUCGGAUCAGGUAGGGAUACCCGCUGAACUUAAGC